AGACCGAAUUUCUUGCAUCUGUUCACAGCUAAGUGAAUGCAGGCUGAGACCGGAACUAUUCCCAUGCGCAAGGAAUUAUGGGUACCUGAAAGAGUUAAUUACACAGAG